CAAAAAAUUGGAAUAGUGUUGAAUAGCAUAGUGUGAAUUAUAUCUUACUUACAGAUGUCUCUUUUUCAUAGAGAAGUAUGUACGCCCUACUGGCGAGCACUUGGGCAAGGAGGACCAGCUGGACCUGUAACACACAAAGCGGAUUGAAGAAAUACUAAUACUGCAAAAAUAGGUGACAUAGUGGCCAUUCAUACAAGUCGUACCGCUGUGAACAAGAAAUGCCUUCAGAGCAUACGAGCUCUUCUAUAAAAUAAACAAUCUUUAGGACUCUUGUCAAGUUACAAAUAUUCCAAAAAUCUGAGACAACUUCGGAAAGGAGGGAGAGGGGGUUAAGGGAAGGGCAAAAGAAAAUUGAAAAAAUGAACCAUGUAUUUUUGUGUGUAGAUAUUGUGCCAAGAUGUAAGAAUAAAAGCUGCAAAUAUA